CAACUGGAGAGUUUGAUCCUGGCUCAGAACGAACGUUAGCGGCGCGCCUAACACAUGCAAGUCGCACGAGAAAGGGCUUCGGCCCCUGUACAGUGGCGCACGGGUGAGUAACACGUGGGUAACGUUCCCUCGGGCGGGGGAUAACCUUCCGAAAGGAGGGCUAAUACCGCAUAAGACCACGGCUCCGAAAGGAGCUGAGGUAAAAGCAGGCCUCUGCACGCAAGCUUGCACCGGAGGAUCGGCCCGCGGCCCAUCAGCU
rnacentral:rRNA from 1 species